rnacentral:lncRNA from 1 species
GACUGAGAGUGCUAGAUUACUGUGAAAACAUACUUAAGCUCUUGAGAAGAACUAAAGAUUUGCUUUUAAUUUAGAGAAGGAUCAAAGCUAGGAGUGGAAGGAUACACCAAUUCAAAUUUUGUGUCUGACAUUGAUGGUAGAAUGUCUACGUCAUGGGGUAUGUUCCUAUGUCGAUAUCUUAGAAGGAUUUCAAAUAAUCGAUCGAUGGAAGUUGAGCAUACUAUAGAUGUGUGGGA